GAUGAACGCUGGCGGCGUGCCUAACACAUGCAAGUCGAACGGAGUUAUUAUUAUGAAGUCUUCGGAUGGAUUAAUAAUAACUUAGUGGCGGACGGGUGUGUAACGCGUGGGUAACCUGCCUCAUACAGGGGGAUAACAGUUGGAAACGACUGCUAAAACCGCAUAACACUGCACCAUCGCAUGGUGGAGCAGUUAAAUAUUUAUAGGUAUGAGAUGGGCCCGCGUCUGAUUAGCUAGUUGGUGAGGUAAUGGCUCACCAAGGCGACGAUCAGUAGCCGGCUUGGGAGAGUGACCGGCCACAUUGGGACUGAGACACGGCCCAAACUCCUACGGGAGGCAGCAGUGGUGAAUAUUGCACAAUGGGGGAAACCCUGAUGCAGCGACGCCGCGUGAGUGAAGAAGUAUUUCGGUAUGUAAAGCUCUAUCAGCAGGGAAGAAAAUGACGGUACCUGACUAAGAAGCCCCGGCUAACUACGUGCCAGCCGCCGCAGUAAUAC
rnacentral:rRNA from 1 species